rnacentral:rRNA from 1 species
UACGUAGGCAGCAAGCGUUGUUCGGAGUUACUGGGCGUAAAGAGUGCGUAGGCGGUGCUCUAAGUUUGGUGUGAAAUCUCCCGGCUCAACUGGGAGGGUGCGCCGAAAACUGGAGUGCUUGAGUAUGGGAGAGGCAAGCGGAAUUCCUGGUGUAGCGGUGAAAUGCGUAGAUAUCAGGAAGAACACCCGUGGCUAAGGCGGCUCUCUAGUACGGUACUGACGCUGAGACGCGAAAGCGUGGGGAGCGAACAGG